AGCUAUAUGUAUUUAUGUAUAGUUUUUUCUGCCCAGUGAUUUUUUAACGGCCGCAGUACUUUGACUGUGCUAAGGUAGCAUAAUCAAUUGACUUUUAAUUGAAGUCUGGAAUGAACGGGAAAAUGGGUAAAAGCUGUUUCUUUAAAAAUUUAUUGAAGUUACUAUAAAGGUGAAAAUACCUUUUUUAAAAAAAAAGACGAGAAGACCCUUAGAGUUUUUUUGUUGGGGUGACAAAUAAGCAAACCUUAUUUUAUGAAAGAAUAAACUACCUAAGGGAUAACAGCAUAAUUUUCUUUUAAGAUUGUGACCUCGAUGUUGGACUAGGAAAUUAAUAAUUAGAAAUUAAAAUUUAUAGUUCUGUUCGAACUUUUUCUCCU
rnacentral:rRNA from 1 species